rnacentral:rRNA from 1 species
UACGGAGGGGGCUAGCGUUGUUCGGAAUUACUGGGCGUAAAGCGCACGUAGGCGGCUUUGUAAGUUAGAGGUGAAAGCCCAGGGCUUAACCCUGGAAUUGCCUUUAAGACUGCAUCGCUAGAAUCGUGGAGAGGUAAGUGGAAUUCCGAGUGUAGAGGUGAAAUUCGUAGAUAUUCGGAAGAACACCAGUGGCGAAGGCGACUUACUGGACACG